rnacentral:rRNA from 1 species
AGAGUUUGAUCCUGGCUCAGGACGAACGCUGGCGGCGUGCUUAACACAUGCAAGUCGAGCGGUUCUUAAGCUGUAGUUUACUAUAGCUUAAGAAUAGCGGCGAACGGGUGAGUAACACGUGGGCAACCUGUCCGAAAGAUCGGGAUAACAGUCCGAAAGGGCUGCUAAUACCGAAUAUGCUUACCGGGUCGCAUGACCCGGUAAGGAAAGGUAGGCAACUUCUGCUUUCGGGUGGGCCCGCGUCCCAUUAGCUAGUUGGUAGGGUAACGGCCUACCAAGGCAACGAUGGGUAGCUGGUCUGAGAGGAUGGUCAGCCACACUGGGACUGAGACACGGCCCAGACUCCUACGGGAGGCAGCAGUGAGGAAUCUUGGGCAAUGGGCGAAAGCCUGACCCAGCGACGCCGCGUGGAGGAAGAAGGCCUUCGGGUCGUAAACUCCUGUUUGGGGAGAAGAACAAGAGAGAAGUUAAUAGCUUCUCUCUCUGACGGUAUCCCCGGAGAAAGCUCCGGCUAAUUACGUGCCAGCAGCCGCGGUAAUACGUAAGGAGCGAGCGUUGUCCGGAUUUACUGGGCGUAAAGGGCUCGUAGGUGGUUUCUUAGGUCUCACGUGAAAUUCCCUGGCUCAACCAGGGAGGGUCGUGGGAAACCGAGAGGCUAGAGGGCAGGAGAGGAGAGUGGAAUUCCCGGUGUAGCGGUGAAAUGCGUAGAGAUCGGGAGGAACACCAGUGGUGAAGACGGCUCUCUGGACUGUCCCUGACACUGAGGAGCGAAAGCCAGGGGAGCAAACCGGAUUAGAUACCCGGGUAGUCCUGGCCGUAAACGAUGGGUACUAGGUGUGGGGGGUUCGACCCCCUCCGUGCCGCAGUUAACGCAUUAAGUACCCCGCCUGGGGACUACGACCGCAAGGUUAAAACUCAAAGGAAUUGACGGGGGCCCGCACAAGCGGU